rnacentral:rRNA from 1 species
GAUGAACGCUGGCGGCGUGCCUAAUACAUGCAAGUCGAACGCAUAGCGAAAGGUGCUUGCACCUUUCAAGUGAGUGGCGAACGGGUGAGUAACACGUGGACAACCUGCCUCAAGGCUGGAGAUAACAUUUGGAAACAGAUGCUAAUACCGAAUAAAACUUAGUGUCGCAUGACACAAAGUUAAAAGGCGCUUCGGCGUCACCUAGAGAUGGAUCCGCGGUGCAUUAGUUAGUUGGUGGGGUAAAGGCCUACCAAGACAAUGAUGCUUAGCCGAGUUGAGAGACUGAUCGGCCACAUUGGGACUGAGACACGGCCCAAACUCCUACGGGAGGCUGCAGUAGGGAAUCUUCCACAAUGGGCGAAAGCCUGAUGGAGCAACGCCGCGUGUGUGAUGAAGGCUUUCGGGUCGUAAAGCACUGUUGUAUGGGAAGAACAGCUAGAAUAGGAAAUGAUUUUAGUUUGACGGUACCAUACCAGAAAGGGACGGCUAAAUACGUG